rnacentral:lncRNA from 1 species
CAUAACAUAACAUUGCAUAACAGGUACUCUAAAGGGAUCAAUGUUCUCACGGUUUUCCUCCAAACAGAAAAAUGGACCUCGAACAAACUGUCAAGGAUCUCCAUGCUCAGAAUGCUCAACUCCAGGAGAUGAUCUUGAACUUAUCCAGGGGGCAGGAGGAACUGAAAGCUCUCUUGCUCGAGAAAAAGAAAGACAAGAAAGCUGUGAGUUACAUUAACCCGGGAAGAAGGCUUAAAGGACAGGCUGCGGGAAUCAAAAUCAGAAUUCCGAAGGAUCAAGAAG